UGAUUGUGAGGACCGCUGCCCUGAGGGCUGUAUAGCCAGCUGGGUCUUCAUGGAAGAGAAACCUUUCCAGGGAGCUGGGCAGCUUCCAGGGCCACCAGUCCUGUCCUGGCACCAUGCUGUAGAUGUCAUGACCUAAUGGCGGCUCACAGGAAGUGACCUCAUCAGUGUGCCUUUCAAGCCACACAGGAUGGGUCGGAGCCUGACACUGGGCCGGUCGCUCUGGUUUACACCAAAUCCAACCACUCGUGGCCUGCAGAUCCUCAGUAUAAAUAGCUGGAAAAGCCUGACCUUGACAACCUCAUUCUUCAUUCCUUUCUUGUUACAGUUGAUAUAUGAGGCUGCUCAACUCUCUCUCAAGGAUGUUGGGAUUAUCAGUGAGAAAACUUUCAAGAAGUGCUUUGAUACUCUCAGAGAGCCGAGACCUUUACAACAUUGGCAUUGACCGUGAUUCCACCCACCAUCAACCAGGCGGGCCUCCUCCGAGAUACCCUGGUUUCUUCUGGAUAACUAGCUCAGGCGCCCUUGAAACAUAAAUUCUGAAGAUGUUCAUGCAGCAACAGCAGCUCAGGAAGAAAACAUGCUAGCAGCGGAGAUGUGGAUUCCAAGAGACAGAAGCCCUGCCAGGAGACAGACAGGGAAGGGACAAUUAAGAGAUAAACAGAAAUAAUGAGGAUGAAUCCCGUGAAUUCAUGGAGAAGGUUCAGGUGGGCCAGCAGGAAUGGAGGACCAGGGUGGGGAAACUAGAGUUUUGGGGGCCAAGGGACUUAGGGUGAAAAUGACAUUUCUUCCUUAGCAUAGACUUUGCAAAAUUGCAACACAGUGAUAGUUCUCAAGGACUCAGGAUAUCCUUAACGUCGUGGUUUAGAAAAUUUAAGAGCGAUAUGAGAAAGGAGUGAGUGGAUUGGUUUAAUCAGGGGAAAAAAACAGGAAAUUUCCUAAGUUCAUAAACAUCUUUGAUCAACUGCUAUGCAGAACAUGUUUGCUUUCCUUCUGAGCGGGACCAUUGGCUACCAAGCACGCCUUUGACCCACAAUAAAGAGUUACUUCAUGC
rnacentral:lncRNA from 1 species